GGCUGCAUGAUGGUGUAGUUGGUAGCACUGUUGCCUUCCGGCAGGAAGUGUCCUGGGUUCGACUCCCAGCUGGGGGUCU